rnacentral:misc_RNA from 1 species
GACUGUUAACUCUUCUGACUUGAUUCAAUUUAUGAUUUAUCUUCUCAACAUUAUGAACUCCUAAUAAACGGCGAAUCUCUUGUAAUUGUCGCAUAAUUUCUGUUAUAAAAUUUUGAUACUCUUUAAUUGCUCUCCAAACAGCUGGUAACUUUUGAUCACCGUCACGAGGUUGAUUAUCACCACCACCACCAGUAUCGGCCAUUGUAAUGAGGGUGAAAUUUCUGCUUUGAUACUACCUGACGCAGCGUGUAGCGUGAAAAAAGAUUGACAUACGAUCAAACCCUUGAAAGUAAAUAAGAUCUAAUCCAAGAUCU